AUUGAACGCUGGCGGCAUGCCUUACACAUGCAAGUCGAACGGUAACGGGCCUUCGGGUGCCGACGAGUGGCGAACGGGUGAGUAAUACAUCGGAACGUGCCCGAUCGUGGGGGAUAACGAGGCGAAAGCUUUGCUAAUACCGCAUACGAUCUACGGAUGAAAGCAGGGGAACGCAAGGCCUUGCGCGGACGGAGCGGCCGAUGGCAGAUUAGGGAGUUGGUGGGAUAAAAGCUUACCAAGCCGACGAUCUGUAGCUGGUCUGAGAGGAUGAUCAGCCACACUGGGACUGAGACACGGCCCAGACUCCUACGGGAGGCAGCAGUGGGGAAUUUUGGACAAUGGGCGCAAGCCUGAUCCAGCCAUGCCGCGUGCAGGAUGAAGGCCUUCGGGUUGUAAACUGCUUUUGUACGGAACGAAAAGCCUUCUUUUAAUACAGGAGGGUCAUGACGGUACCGUAAGAAUAAGCACCGACUAACUACGUG
rnacentral:rRNA from 1 species